GGAGUAGUAAAAGAGAUGCGCGGGCAUGCUUUCCACAGGCUUUCUUGAACUGUGAACUCGUGGGGGUGUUCUCCUCUGAAUUGUGUCGUGGAAUUGCGGGCUUGUUCUUUAUCCGUCGAUCUCUCCGCCUGUUGAUGGUUCAAGAAAGCCCAUGGAAACCAUGCCGCCAUCUUGGUCUCGCGUCCCCGU